rnacentral:rRNA from 1 species
UACGUAGGUGGCAAGCGUUGUCCGGAUUUACUGGGCGUAAAGAGGGUGUAGGCGGUUUUUUAAGUUGCCUGUGAAAGCCUGGGGCUCAACCCCAGAACUGCAGGCAAUACUGAAUGGCUAGAGAACAGGAGAGGGAAGGGGAAUUCCCGGUGUAGCGGUGAAAUGCACAGAUAUCGGGAGGAACACCAGUGGCGAAAGCGCCUUCCUGGACUGUUUCUGACGCUGGAGCCCGAAAGCUGGGGGAGCAAACAGG